AGGGGGUGCUGCGGAGGAUGCAGCCUGGAGAGCGACUCUUUCUUCCCAGCCUCCUCCUCCACCCCUAGCUGCAGAGCUGGUGCAUAAAGGUCGAUUCAUGCAGGAGGGGCUGCAGCUUGGAGCCCAGUAGAGGCGGCAGAAAGGACAAAUUUCGUCUGUGUGUGUGUGUGUGUGUGUGUGUGUGUGUGUGUGUGUGUGUGUGUUUGGAGGAAACUGUUUAUUCAGGGAGCUAUAUAUCAAACACAACCUUCCUGGCAGACAAUAGCGAUUUGCCUGGAUCGUUUAUGCAACCGAAUAAACACCAGGAUGGGCUGUCCCGAGCAAAGGCCCUGGAAGCUCUGGCGAAGAGGAGACCUGCACCAGUGUCCUGACCUUCUAAUCUCUCAGCAGCAUCCAAGUUUCAUGAACCGGUGAAGAGUCUGGCCUGGCCUAGAUCCACGAGAAAAGAGAUGGGUUCCCUGGAGCACUACAAGAAUCUUGAUUAAGUCUGUUUCUCACCUAGGCAAGCUCCUUUCAGCCUUGCUGGGCUGCCCUGCCUUCCAUCCUAUUUCCCCAAACCCAGCCUUCUCCCGAAAUGUGUUCUCAGCAGCUAACACUGAAAACCACCUUACAUCCUGGAGGCCGUGGAUGCCGGCCUGAGACAGGCCGAUUCCAGGCACUUGUGGAGUCGUUUUUGUGACAUGGCUGGUCAUUUCCACGAUGCAAUGACAUCUGAACAGUCUGAUUUUGGUCCUGCUGGGGAGGUUUACUGGUAAACUUUGGAAUAAAAUCUUAGUUUAAAACA